rnacentral:rRNA from 1 species
GBACGUABABCUGAACCAGCCAAGUAGCGUGAAGGAUGAAGGGUCCUACGGAUUGUAAACUUCUUUUAUACGGGAAUAAAGUAUCCUACGUGUAGGAUUUUGUAUGUACCGUAUGAAUAAGCAUCGGCUAACUCCGUGCCAGCAGCCGCGGUAAUACGGAGGAUGCGAGCGUUAUCCGGAUUUAUUGGGUUUAAAGGGAGCGUAGACGGGUUUUUAAGUCAGUUGUGAAAGUUUGC